CCCACAUGGACGAGUCUGACGGCAGCACGCCGCGUGAGUGAAGAAGGUUUUCGGAUCGUAAAACUCUGUUGUUAGGGAAGAACAAGUGCCGUUCGAAUAGGGCGGCGCCUUGACGGUACCUAACCAGAAAGCCACGGCUAACUACGUGCCGGCAGCCGCGGUAAUACUUAGGUGGCAAGCGUUGUCCGGAAUUAUUGGGCGUAAAGCGCGCGCAGGUGGUUUCUUAAGUCUGAUGUGAAAGCCCACGGCUCAACCGUGGAGGGUCAUUGGAAACUGGGGAACUUGAGUGCAGAAGAGGAAAGUGGAAUUCCAAGUGUAGCGGUGAAAUGCGUAGAUAUUUGGAGGAACACCAGUGGCGAAGGCGACUUUCUGGUCUGUAACUGACACUGAGGCGCGAAAG
rnacentral:rRNA from 1 species